UUAAACUAUAAGUAAUAGGUCAACUAUAUAUGUUGUAUAGAAGCAUUGUUAGCUGUACAUGUCUGCCUGGCAUGGUUCAUCUGACCUUGACCUCAUUUUCAAGGUUCAUUGGUCUUUGUUUAGUUAUCUUGGUUAAUGUUAAGUUUAUGUGACAGUUGUAAUAAAGCUUUAUACUUAGGACUAUCAACAUAAUAUCAAUGAUUAGUAUAGAAGGCGAGACAUUUCAGCGUGUGCACUCUUGUUUUUUUAUAA
rnacentral:lncRNA from 1 species